CUACGGGAGGCACCAGUGGGGGAUAUUGCACAAUGGAGGAAACUCUGAUGCAGCGACGCCGCGUGAGUGAUGAAGUAUUUCGGUAUGUAAAGCUCUAUCAGCAGGGAAGAAAGGCUCCUUUAAGGAGAGAUGACGGUACCUGAGUAAGAAGCCCCGGCUAACUACGUGCCAGCAGCCGCGGUAAUACGUGGGGGCGAGCGUUAUCCGGAUUUACUGGGUGGAAAGGGAGCGCAGACGGAGGUGCAAGUCUGAAUGGCAAGCCCGGGGCUCACCCCGGGACUGCAUUGGAAACUGUAGAUCUGGAGUAUUGGAAGGGCAAGCGGAAUUCCUGGUGUAGCGGUGAAAUGCGUAGAUAUCAGGAGGAACACCGGUGGCGAAGGCGGCUUGCUGGACAAUAACUGACGUUGAGGCUCGAAAGCGUGGGGAGCAAACAGGAUUAGAUACCCCGGUAGUC
rnacentral:rRNA from 1 species